GAUGAACGCUGGCGGCGUGCUUAACACAUGCAAGUCGAACGGAAAGGCUCCUGCUUGCAGGGGUACUCGAGUGGCGAACGGGUGAGUAACACGUGGGUGAUCUGCCCUGCACUUCGGGAUAAGCCUGGGAAACUGGGUCUAAUACCGGAUAGGACGAUGGUUUGGAUGCCAUUGUGGAAAGUUUUUUCGGUGUGGGAUGAGCUCGCGGCCUAUCAGCUUGUUGGUGGGGUAAUGGCCUACCAAGGCGUCGACGGGUAGCCGGCCUGAGAGGGUGUACGGCCACAUUGGGACUGAGAUACGGCCCAGACUCCUACGGGAGGCAGCAGUGGGGAAUAUUGCACAAUGGGCGCAAGCCUGAUGCAGCGACGCCGCGUGGGGGAUGACGGCCUUCGGGUUGUAAACUCCUUUCGCCAGGGACGAAGCGCAAGUGACGGUACCUGGAGAAGAAGCACCGGCUAACUACGUG
rnacentral:rRNA from 1 species